rnacentral:lncRNA from 1 species
GAAGAGUACUGAGAUAAUUCUUGGGAUACACUCUAAGCCCCAUUAUUUCUACUACAUACCCACAGCAAGGAGUCAUUAAGAUAUUUGAAGCAAUCCCUGACUGCCAUUUUAUGAUACAAUAAAAUAUGAUAAUAUUAAACUGAAUAUGAUACUUCAACUGAAGUGUCUGUUAUGUGAGAGAAGAAAAAUAAUGAUCAAGUAGUGUAACAAAAGUGGCGUACUGCGAGGGCUUUGGCUUACUUGCACUUUUUAUAAAUACAACUGUGUUAACUAAACUUUGAAAAUAUUUUCAGUUUGAGAAAUAAAACCCACAAAAAGUGACUGUAUGCAGUAGUUCUGGUUUUGAGAUGAAGUCCUGAAUAGCUGCAUUUGGUUCACAAAGUUUGUUUGGGAUAUUCCCCCAACCUUCUUUUCAAAAACUACUUCUUGUUGUAGAAGAUUCUCUAGCAAUGGGAUUAACACCGUAAUAAACAGAAUGUGAUCAGAGGGAAGUAAAGAAAUUGAGAAUGGAGUAAGUCAUUACCAUAACUGUAACUUGAUGUGCAUUUACCAUUCAAACAGAAUUAUUUAAGGGAAAGUUCUUUACCAAGGGAAAAGAAAACAUUUAUCAGGAGAAGCAGCUACUGAAGAGGUAAUGGAAGGGGUAGUGCUCUUUCUUUGAAAGGUGUAUUGCCCACUGUGUUCUACACUGCUUUUUACACUUAACAACAUCUUCCUGGCCCAGAGAAGUAGUGGCUAAAUACUCUAGACACAUAUAACACCAAAUUAAUUGCAUUGCUGUCUAUAUAAUUUCUGGACAAGUCAUCACCAUUCUAUUUUAUGACAGCAUUGGCCGGAGAUUAUGAUCCAGAGACUUGCAGAAAGACGAUGGCUGUGAAACAUCCUGAAGUAUCCACUUAUUUGCACCUUCACAGCAAUAGUAAAAGUUUGCAGCUUCAGUAUCUUCCAUGGAAUAGCUCCUGCCACAGAUGAUCUCAGGCAUUACAACAUUUUUGGCUCCGAUACAUUAUUGUUAAAGAAGGACAGUAAAUGAUGCAGAGAAAAUUACACUGUGAAAUGAGCAGACCAAGUUUUAAAAAAGCAGGGCGAGGGGGAUUUCACUGUGCACAUGGAUUCCUCAUGCCUAGAAGUUCUGAUCCUGUAAAUACAGAAGAAAUCAAGCACUUCCCCAAAACCUGAAGAAGAAACAUGAUCAGAUCUAUUAAAAACAAAGUUCCUGGAGUGCUGAUCACCCUUGACUGAAUGCUGGAAUUGCCAUAUAAGCCAUCAUUCAUCCUCAAAUUAGAAUGAACAAACUGUUAAGAAUGUGAUUGAGGGGAUCAUCUUUCAGCAUAAAAAGUAUUUCACAUUGCUUGAACAUAUGAUUGUCCUAUUUCUUGGCAUUUAAUAGAUAUGAUUUAUUAUGACAUUACAAUAUUUUUCAUGAAAGCAAUACUAUUAAUCUUAAAAUCAUUAAAAUCUUAGGGAAGGGUCACUAAACAUUUUGCUACUUGAAAUAUGUCAAUUUUCCUGGCCAGCUGUCACAGGAAGUGUUGUUUACCUUACUGCACCUUAAUAGACAGUAGAUCCCAUGCUGUCGGAUAUGACUUUUCUCUGUUGUUCAAAAUUUAGGGGAUAGCAGUAGUACUUUGAACAGUUGGUGAGCAUGACACAGAGCCCAUAAUUUGAAGCAUGAUACUAAAGUUUGUCAGAUGCUUUGGAACUCUUCAAAGAAACAGAACUGACUUCUUUUAUAACAGGUGAUUUGUUUUGACUUUCAUAUAUGUAUUAAAAGCUUCUUCUGACUUAAAUAUAAGCCUUCUGUUUCUGUCCAAGGUCAGGAAUUGAUUUGUGCUAUGGCCUGAAUAAAAAACUCUGCCUUGCUUGCCACAGUCAGAGUGCCUGGGUCAGAGUGUCUGGGACCUCCUGCAUCUUCAGCUCCAGGAGCAUGUCAUUCAGAUGUCUUAACUUUGCAAAGUUCAGCAGAAGGGAUAAACAGUAAUGUUUGCAACAGAAGCUCCUCACAUGUUUUGUACUGCAUGCAAAUAUUUUCCCACUUCUAACAUUCCCUGAUAUAUAUGUUCCCA